CGAUGAAUGAAGUUCUCAGUUAAACGAAAACAUUGGCGGUUUGAUUCUUGCGUGUUGCUUGACACCUUUUUAAAUCGAAGGAGAUUUAUAUUUAAGAAAUCAUUGCCCAGAGUAGUGCAAUGUUUUUAUUUGGUGUUAGAGGACAAUUAAUAGCUGAUCAGUCUCCAUUCUCCAACGGGAAAACGCUAAACCCACACGGUCGAUCACAAUUGUUUAAAGGGGACCUGAUUCCAAUGGCCGGCGAUCCAAAUUCCAUAAGCACCUCUCUGAAAUUCUCCACUCACCCCAUGGUUGCAC
rnacentral:misc_RNA from 1 species